rnacentral:rRNA from 1 species
AUUGAACGCUGGCGGCAUGCUUUACACAUGCAAGUCGAACGGUAACAGGCCGCAAGGUGCUGACGAGUGGCGAACGGGUGAGUAAUGCAUCGGAACGUGCCCAGUCGUGGGGGAUAACGCAGCGAAAGCUGCGCUAAUACCGCAUACGAUCUAUGGAUGAAAGCGGGGGACCGUAAGGCCUCGCGCGAUUGGAGCGGCCGAUGUCAGAUUAGGUAGUUGGUGGGGUAAAGGCUCACCAAGCCAACGAUCUGUAGCUGGUCUGAGAGGACGACCAGCCACACUGGGGCUGAGACACGGCCCAGACUCCUACGGGAGGCAGCAGUGGGGAAUUUUGGACAAUGGGCGCAAGCCUGAUCCAGCAAUGCCGCGUGCAGGAAGAAGGCCUUCGGGUUGUAAACUGCUUUUGUACGGAACGAAAAGGCUCUGGAUAAUACCUGGGGCUCAUGACGGUACCGUAAGAAUAAGCACCGGCUAACUAUGUGCCAGCCGCCGCAGUAAAAC